AAGUCGUAACAAGGUUUCCGUAGGUGAACCUGCGGAAGGAUCAUUAUUGAAUGAACUUGGCGUGGUUGUUGCUGGUCCUCUUGGGGGCAUGUGCACACCCGUCAUCUUUAUCUUUCCACCUGUGCACAUUUUGUAGGUCUAAAAUUUUUCCGAGGCAACUCGUUUAGAGGGAUUGCUGUGCAUCACUGUCGGCUUCCCUUGGAUUUUCAGGCCUAUGUUUUCACAUACACCAUAAAAUGUAAUAGAAUGUCAUAUUGGGCUUUGUUGCCUAUAAACUAUAUACAACUUUCAGCAACGGAU
rnacentral:misc_RNA from 1 species